AUUGAACGCUGGCGGCAUGCUUUACACAUGCAAGUCGAACGGUAACAGGUUAAGCUGACGAGUGGCGAACGGGUGAGUAAUGCAUCGGAACGUGCCCGGUCGUGGGGGAUAACGCAGCGAAAGCUGCGCUAAUACCGCAUACGAUCUGAGGAUGAAAGCGGGGGACCGUAAGGCCUCGCGCGAUCGGAGCGGCCGAUGUCAGAUUAGGUAGUUGGUGGGGUAAAGGCUCACCAAGCCAACGAUCUGUAGCUGGUCUGAGAGGACGACCAGCCACACGGGGAAUGAGACACGGCCCAGACUCCUACGGGAGGCAGCAGUGGGGAAUUUUGGACAAUGGGCGAAAGCCUGAUCCAGCAAUGCCGCGUGCAGGAAGAAGGCCUUCGGGUUGUAAACUGCUUUUGUACGGAGCGAAAAGGUCUCCUCUAAUACAGGGGGCUCAUGACGGUACCGUAAGAAUAAGCACCGGCUAACUACGUGCCAGCCGCCGCAGUAA
rnacentral:rRNA from 1 species